rnacentral:rRNA from 1 species
GGCGAACGGGUGAGUAAAGCAUCGGAACGUACCGUGUAGUGGGGGAUAACGUAGCGAAAGUUACGCUAAUACCGCAUACGCACUGAGGUGGAAAGCAGGGGAUCGCAAGACCUUGCGCUAUACGAGCGGCCGAUGUCAGAUUAGCUAGUUGGUAGGGUAAAGGCCUACCAAGGCGACGAUCUGUAGCGGGUCUGAGAGGAUGAUCCGCCACACUGGGACUGAGACACGGCCCAGACUCCUACGGGAGGCAGCAGUGGGGAAUUUUGGACAAUGGGCGAAAGCCUGAUCCAGCCAUGCCGCGUGAGUGAAGAAGGCCUUCGGGUUGUAAAGCUCUUUCGGUUGGGAAGAAAUCGCACAGGCUAAUACUCUGUGUGGAUGACGGUACCAGCACAAGAAGCACCGGCUAACUACGUGCCAGCAGCCGCGGUAAUACGUAGGGUGCGAGCGUUAAUCGGAGUUACUGGGCGUAAAGCGUGCGCAGGCGGUUGUGCAAGACAGAUGUGAAAUCCCCGGGCUCAACCUGGGAACUGCAUUUGUGACUGCACGACUAGAGUACGGCAGAGGGGGGUAGAAUUCCACGUGUAGCAGUGAAAUGCGUAGAGAUGUGGAGGAAUACCGAUGGCGAAGGCAGCCCCCUGGGCCGAUACUGACGCUCAUGCACGAAAGCGUGGGGAGCAAACAGGAUUAGAUACCCUGGUAGUCCACGCCCUAAACGAUGUCAACUAGUUGUUGGUAGGGUUAAACCUAUUAGUAACGUAGCUAACGCGUGAAGUUGACCGCCUGGGGAGUACGGUCGCAAGAUUAAAACUCAAAGGAAUUGACGGGGACCCGCACAAGCGGUGGAUGGAUUGUGGAUUAAUUCGAUGCAACGCGAAAAACCUUACCUACCCUUGACAUGUCAAGAAUCCCUAGAGAUUAGGGAGUGCCGCAAGGAACUUGAACACAGUGCUGCAUGGCUGUCGUCAGCUCGUGUCGUGGAGAUUGUUGGGUUAAGUCCCGCACGAGCGCACCCUUGUCAUAGCUGCCAUCAUUUAGUGGCACUCUAUGGA